rnacentral:rRNA from 1 species
CCUACGGGAGGUGCAGUGGGGAAUAUUGCACAAUGGGCGCAAGCCUGAUGCAGCCAUGCCGCGUGUGUGAAGCAGGCCUUCGGGUUGCAAAGCACUUUCCGCGGGGAGGAAGGCGUUAAGGUUAAUAACCUUGUCGAUUGACGUUACCCGCAGAAGAAGCACCGGCUAACUCCGUGCCAGCAGCCGCGGUAAUACGGAGGGUGCAAGCGUUAAUCGGAAUUACUGGGCGUAAAGCGCACGCAGGCGGUCUGUCAAGUCGGAUGUGAAAUCCCCGGGCUCAACCUGGGAACUGCAUUCGGAACUGGCAGGCUAGAGUCUUGUAGAGGGGGGUAGAAUUCCAGGUGUAGCGGUGAAAUGCGUAGAGAUCUGGAGGAAUACCGGUGGCGAAGGCGGCCCCCUGGACAAAGACUGACGCUCAGGUGCGAAAGCGUGGGGAGCAAACAGGAUUAGAUACCCCAGUAGUC